rnacentral:tRNA from 1 species
GCCUGGGUGGCUUAGUCAGCUAAGCAUCUGACUUUAGCUCAGGUCACGAUCUCAUGGUUCAUGGGUUUGAGCCCCAUCAGGCU